UGCGGGACCAGAUAGACGUUUUGGCUGUACAUGAGGUAAUAACGGACCCCAUUGCUAUGUUACUUUAUCGUCUUCACUUGCGGAUGGGCUUCGCACCGGGACUGGGAACUUAGGUUUCCACAACAUGCGUCCAACGUUGGGGCCAUGAGCUCCGUUCCACGGCGAGGAACAAGCAGCACGUUUUCUUUUCCGACUGUUGUUUUUAUUGUUGACUGAUACGUUUUAUUUGUAGGAAACCGCCGUGUAGUCUAUAGUCUUUUUCGAGAAUAUCAUUCUUGUUUUUUUGGAUUGGUUGCUUGUUUUGUUGUUUUUCUUAGUGCUUUGUAGCUCCAACCCGGUGCCCGAGUAGUCUGAGCAACCACGAAUCGUACGCCACCACGCCCGUACGGCCUUCGUAGGGGAACGAAGGGUCUUCCACACGAUCACUCGGGACUCUGAGGAUAACCCAGGAGACAACUCCUCGGCGUCGACUGGACGUUGCAACCCGGGCGGUUACGGAGAUGAUGGACGUCGCAAGGUUGGGCCGGGCUCGCCAGUACAACCGUGGACGCCGGAAUCACCUACAGCGUUGGUGUCCUUGUUCUUCGACGAGCUCAUCCGGUUAGUGAUGCGUCACGGGGCUUUGCUGCUUCGCUCGCAGAUAGGUGGAACGGCCCCUUCCAGAUAAGGCGAAGAGCCAAAUCAUCAGCCUCUCCUCAAGACAUGGACCAGAAUCCCGCGUCGGGACCGGUUUCUGGACGCUAGUGUGCGCCGCAGCAGGCGGCGCACAUAUCUCUACAAGGCCAAAGAGAUCCAGGGUUGGAGCGGCUUCCUCAUUGGUCUGUUCCAAGCCGCCAGUCUCGUCAGCAGUGAGAGCGGACUGGAAUUGAUGCCGCCAUUCGGUGGCAAAGGUAGACGGUAUUCUCUGACAGUCGGCCAGUUUGAUGGACUUCGCAGCCCAGGUCUCUUCGCGGAGCAGACUCAGCAGGGGUAACUCCAAGUAUCGCGCUAGCUAGCAUUUUUCACUGAAUGAUGUACUACAUUGUACGUCGUGUGUUCCAGGUAUCCUGUUUCUUCUGUUGAUAUUUUUCUUCUGUUCCUUUUUUUUUUUUUUUUUUUUUGCCAAGUAAUGUACCCUCAUGCAAUGCCUUUGAGGCAACGUCAUAAAUAAAGCCAACCGACGCCCGCUACCCAUUUCUGAAUAAACGAGACUGUUGUGCCCGACUUGCCUGGUCCCCGAAGUCAACCGCAGGAGCCAUCGUCGCGGAGCCCUCCAUUUGGGAAAAAAUAAAU